UACGUAGGCGGAAAAUUAAGUCAGUAGUGAAAUCCUGCAGCUUAACUGUAGAACUGUUAUUGAUACUGGUUUUCUUGAAUAUAGUUGAGGUAAGCGGAAUGUGUAAUGUAACGGUGAAAUGCUUAGAUAUUACACAGAACACCGAUUGCGAAGGCAGCUUACUAAGCUAUGAUUGACGCUGAGGUACGAAAGCGUGGGGAGCGAACAGGAUUAGAUACCCUGGUAGUCC
rnacentral:rRNA from 1 species